AUAAAAACAUUAUUGGCAGUAGAAAUGCUCAGAUUAAUGUCAAUUUGCUUGAUAGCAACAGGUUGAAAUGAACUGGUGUUUCAUAUUGCCUUCUGAAAAUUCGAGUUUGGCUGGCGGAAUGAAUAUUUUAACCUUAUUCCUAGAUGCAAGCGAUUCAUUUCUUUGCUCUCUCCAGAUGUGAUAAUCUUUGCAGAUGUGUAGCUUUUCCUCUAUAAAUAUUUCUGAGUGCAGACCGGCUGUCUGCAUUCUCUCCAGCUAAUCUGGCACACACGUUUCCUAAGGGAUGACAGAAGCAGUUCCUGACAACCGACCCAGACAUCAGGAAGGGAGUGUGCAAAAAGCAAUUGAGGCUUUGGAGAUUUUCUCAAUCCGAUUGCAAAUGUGAGAAGUGGGACUCUGUUCCAAGAGAAUAUGCAAAAAACAGUGGCUGUCUGAGAUUCCUAUACUGGAUCGAACAUAUACUUGCGAUGUGUGUUGCUGCAGCAGAGCAAGGAAUGGUUUCCAGAGCACCAUUGGGAGCAUUUAAAGUGAAGCCAUGCAGCCUCUCUAUGCAACAUCAAGUCAUCAUGUCAGGAUUCUGUCUUGUCUGUUCCACAUGGUGAGUGCUUAUUAUCCCAUCAGGAGGGGGUUAUCGAUUUGAGCUGGCCAAUAACUGAGGUUAAAACCUUCUUAUGAAGAAGCUCUUUUACUAAGUCAUACUCAAACAUAUUAGCCCCUGGUGGCAAUCUCAUUGUUACUCCUUUUGAAAACAGACUGCUGUCCUGUUGGUCUAGC
rnacentral:lncRNA from 1 species